GCUAGUAAUCGCGGAUCAGAAUGCCGCGGUGAAUACGUUCCCGGGUCUUGUACACACCGCCCGUCACACCAUGGGAGUCGGAAAUGCCCGAAGUCUGUGACCCAACCUACGGGAGGGAGCAGCCGAAGGCAGGUCGGAUGACUGGGGUGAAGUCGUAACAAGGUACC
rnacentral:rRNA from 1 species